rnacentral:rRNA from 1 species
UAGCUAGUUGGUAGGGUAAGGGCCUACCAAGGCAACGAUCGGUAGCUGGUCUGAGAGGAUGGCCAGCCACACUGGAACUGAGACACGAUCCAGACUCCUACGGGAGGCAGCAGUGGGGAAUAUUGGACAAUGGGGGCAACCCUGAUCCAGCAAUGCCGCGUGUGUGAAGAAGGCCUGAGGGUUGUAAAGCACUUUCAGUGGGGAGGAGAGUUAUUAGGUUAAGAGCUAGAUAACUGGACGUUACCCACAGAAGAAGCACCGGCUAACUCCGUGCCAGCAGCCGCGGUAAUACGGAGGGUGCGAGCGUUAAUCGGAAUUACUGGGCGUAAAGGGUGCGUAGGUGGUUUGAUAAGUUAUCUGUAAAAGCCCAGGGCUCAACCUUGGAAGGCCAGAUAAGACUGUUAGACUAGAGUAUGGGAGAGGGUAGUGGAAUUUCCGGUGUAGCGGUGAAAUGCGUAGAGAUCGGAAGGAACACCAGUGGCGAAGGCGGCUACCUGGCCUGAUACUGACACUGAAGCACGAAAGCGUGGGGAGCAAACAGGAUUAGAUACCCUGGUAGUCCACGCUGUAAACGAUGUCAACUAGCUGUUGGUCAUAUGAAUGUGAUUAGUGGCGA